UACGUAGGGUGCGAGCGUUGUCCGGAAUUAUUGGGCGUAAAGAGCUUGUAGGCGGUUUGUCGCGUCUGCUGUGAAAAUCCGGGGCUCAACCCCGGAUCUGCGGUGGGUACGGGCAGACUAGAGUGAUGUAGGGGGAGACUGGAAUUCCUGGUGUAGCGGUGAAAUGCGCAGAUAUCAGGAGGAACACCGAUGGCGAAGGCAGGUCUCUGGGCAUUAACUGACGCUGAGGAGCGAAAGCAUGGGGAGCAAACAGG
rnacentral:rRNA from 1 species